GAGUGUCGGUGGAGCUGAUCCUCAAGUUAAAGCUUUCACGAGAAAAGUUUGGGUACCAAAAACCAAAACAAAGACAGAGAAAAAGGAGAAGGUGACAGCAAGUUACCCAGUUCUUGACAAAGAAAGGCCAAACUACAGAUGCAGCUUCCUCCUCAGCAGGCCUGUCUCCCCCCACCAAUGACCCAGCCACACUCCCAGCUGAAGAAGGAGUGACUUUGUGAGGUCCAGGACUACACCUGCACUCCACUGCAGCAGGGUGACAAAGACACCACCAGAGGUCAGCAGAGACCAGCUUUUCAGGGGCUGUGAGAUACUCUCUCAAUGAUUUUGU